rnacentral:rRNA from 1 species
UAGGGAAUCUUCCGCAAUGGGCGAAAGCUUGGCGGAGCAACGCCGCGUGAGUGAUGAAGGUCUUCGGAUCGUAAAACUCUGUUAUUAGGGAAGAACAAAUGUGUAAGUAACUAUGCACGUCUUGACGGUACCUAAUCAGAAAGCCACGGCUAACUACGUGUCAGCAGCCGCGGUAAUACGUAGGUGGCAAGCGUUAUCCGGAAUUAUUGGGCGUAAAGCGCGCGUAGGCGGUUUUUUAAGUCUGAUGUGAAAGCCCACGGCUCAACCGUGGAGGGUCAUUGGAAACUGGAAAACUUGAGUGCAGAAGAGGAAAGUGGAAUUCCAUGUGUAGCGGUGAAAUGCGCAGAGAUAUGGAGGAACACCAGUGGCGAAGGCGACUUUCUGGUCUGUAACUGACGCUGAUGUGCGAAAGCGUGGGGAUCAAACAGG